GAUGAACGCUGGCGGCGUGCCUAAUACAUGCAAGUCGAGCGAACAGACGAGGAGCUUGCUCCUCUGACGUUAGCGGCGGACGGGUGAGUAACACGUGGAUAACCUACCUAUAAGACUGGGAUAACUUCGGGAAACCGGAGCUAAUACCGGAUAAUAUAUUGAACCGCAUGGUUCAAUAGUGAAAGACGGUUUUGCUGUCACUUAUAGAUGGAUCCGCGCCGCAUUAGCUAGUUGGUAAGGUAACGGCUUACCAAGGCAACGAUGCGUAGCCGACCUGAGAGGGUGAUCGGCCACACUGGAACUGAGACACGGUCCAGAAUCCUAAGGGAGGCAGCAGUAGGGAAUCUUCCGCAAUGGGCGAAAGCCUGACGGAGCAAAGCCGCGUGAGUGAUGAAGGUCUUCGGAUCGUAAAACUCUGUUAUUAGGGAAGAACAAAUGUGUAAGUAACUAUGCACGUCUUGAAGGUACCUAAUCAGAAAGCCAAGGCUAACUAAGUG
rnacentral:rRNA from 1 species